rnacentral:rRNA from 1 species
GACGAACGCUGGCGGCGUGCCUAAUACAUGCAAGUCGAACGCACAGUUUAUACCGUAGCUUGCUACACCAUAGACUGUGAGUUGCGAACGGGUGAGUAACGCGUAGGUAACCUGCCUGGUAGCGGGGGAUAACUAUUGGAAACGAUAGCUAAUACCGCAUAAUAUUGAUUAUUGCAUGAUAAUUGAUUGAAAGAUGCUAUUGCAUCACUACCAGAUGGACCUGCGUUGUAUUAGCUAGUAGGUGAGGUAACGGCUCACCUAGGCGACGAUACAUAGCCGACCUGAGAGGGUGAUCGGCCACACUGGGACUGAGACACGGCCCAGACUCCUACGGGAGGCAGCAGUAGGGAAUCUUCGGCAAUGGACGAAAGUCUGACCGAGCAACGCCGCGUGAGUGAAGAAGGUUUUCGGAUCGUAAAGCUCUGUUGUAGGAGAAGAACGGGUGUGAGAGUGGAAAGUUCACACUGUGACGGUAGCUUACCAGAAAGGGACGGCUAACUACGUG